GAUGAACGCUGGCGGCGUGCCUAAUACAUGCAAGUCGAGCGAACGGACGAGAAGCUUGCUUCUCUGAUGUUAGCGGCGGACGGGUGAGUAACACGUGGAUAACCUACCUAUAAGACUGGGAUAACUUCGGGAAACCGGAGCUAAUACCGGAUGAUAUUUUGAACCGCAUGGUUCAAUAGUGAAAGACGGUUUUGCUGUCACUUAUAGAUGGAUCCGCGCUGCAUUAGCUAGUUGGUAAGGUAACGGCUUACCAAGGCAACGAUGCCUAGCCGACCUGAGAGGGGAAACGGCCACAGCGAAGCGGGGACACGGUCCGACCACCGAGGGGAGGCAGAGGUAGGAAAUCUGCCGCAAGGGGCGAAAGCCUGACGUAGCAACGCCGCGUGAGGGAUAAGGGUCUUCGGUUCGUAAAACCCUGUAAUUAGGGACAAACAGAUGUGUAAGUAACAGUGCACAUCUGGACGGUACCUAGUCAAAGGGCCACGACUAACUACGU
rnacentral:rRNA from 1 species